UAGGGAAUCUUCCACAAUGUACGCAAGUCUGAUGGAGCAACGCCGCGUGAGUGAAGAAGGUCUUCGGAUCGUAAAACUCUGUUGUUAGAGAGGAACACGAGUGAGAGUAACUGUUCAUUCGAUGACGGUNUCUAACCAGCAAGUCACGGCUAACUACGUGCCAC
rnacentral:rRNA from 1 species